rnacentral:miRNA from 1 species
UAAGGUGACCAACAAUCCUGGUUUGCCUGGGACCGAGUGGGUUUCCCAGGAUACAGAACUUUCAGUGUUAACACUGGCACAGUC